rnacentral:rRNA from 1 species
GAACCUACGGGAGGCAGCAGUGAGGAAUAUUGGUCAAUGGGCGGGAGCCUGAACCAGCCAAGUCGCGUGAGGGAAGACGGUCCUAUGGAUUGUAAACCUCUUUAGGCGGGGAGCAAUGCCGGGCACGCGUGCCCGGAGGGAGAGUACCAGCAGAAUAAGCAUCGGCUAACUCCGUGCCAGCAGCCGCGGUAAUACGGAGGAUGCGAGCGUUAUCCGGAUUUAUUGGGUUUAAAGGGUGCGUAGGCGGAUUUUUAAGUCAGUUGUGAAAGUUUGCGGCUCAACCGUAAAAUUGCAGUUGAAACUGG